UACGGGGGGAGCAAGCGUUGUUCGGAUUUAUUGGGUUUAAAGGGUGCGUAGGCGGGUUAUUAAGUCAGUGGUGAAAGCCUUCAGCUUAACUGAAGAAUUGCCAUUGAUACUGAUGAUCUUGAGUAUGAUUGAGGUGGGCGGAAUGUGUCAUGUAGCGGUGAAAUGCUUAGAUAUGACACAGAACACCGAUUGCGAAGGCAGCUCACUAAGCCAUAACUGACGCUGAUGCACGAAAGCGUGGGGAGCAAACAGG
rnacentral:rRNA from 1 species